CCUCUCCUGCAGCUCCUGCCAGCUGCCUUCUCCUCCGUUCCGGUCAGCUCCACUGUAAGUCUCGCGGUCUGGUUGCCGCGGGAUCGUUGCCAUGGCUCUGACGGCCGCGGCUCUCUAAGUUGCCAUAAUACAGACAGUGACUCGAGUAUAAGUCGAGUGGGGAUUUUUAAGCACAAAAAAUGUGCUGAAAAACUAGACUUAUACUCGAGUAUAUACUGUA